ACUACGGGUGGCUGCAGUGGGGAAUAUUGCACAAUGGGCGCAAGCCUGAUGCAGCCAUGCCGCGUGUGUGAAGAAGGCCUUCGGGUUGUAAAGCACUUUCAGCGGGGAGGAAGGCGGUGAGGUUAAUAACCUCAUCGAUUGACGUUACCCGCAGAAGAAGCACCGGCUAACUCCGUGCCAGCAGCCGCGGUAAUACGGAGGGUGCAAGCGUUAAUCGGAAUUACUGGGCGUAAAGCGCACGCAGGCGGUCUGUCAAGUCGGAUGUGAAAUCCCCAGGCUCAACCUGGGAACUGCAUUCGAAACUGGCAGGCUAGAGUCUUGUAGAGGGGGGUAGAAUUCCAGGUGUAGCGGUGAAAUGCGUAGAGAUCUGGAGGAAUACCGGUGGCGAAGGCGGCCCCCUGGACAAAGACUGACGCUCAGGUGCGAAAGCGUGGGGAGCAAACAGGAUUAGAUACCCGAGUAGUC
rnacentral:rRNA from 1 species